GACGAACGCUGGCGGCAUGCCUAAUACAUGCAAGUCGAGCGAACAGAUGAAGUGCUUGCACUUCUGACGUUAGCGGCGAACGGGUGAGUAACACGUAAGGAAUCUACCUAUAAGCGGGGGAUAACAUUCGGAAACGGGUGCUAAUACCGCAUAAUAUCUUCUUCCGCAUGGAAGAAGAUUGAAAGACGGCUCUGCUGUCACUUAUAGAUGACCUUGCGGUGCAUUAGUUAGUUGGUGGGGUAAUGGCCUACCAAGACGAUGAUGCAUAGCCGACAUGGGAGGGUGAGCGGCCACGUUGGGACUGAGACACGGCCCACACUCCUGCGGGAGGCAGCAGUAGGGAAUCUUCCGCAAUGGGCGAAAGCCUGACGGAGCAAUGCCGCGUGAGUGAAGAAGGCCUUCGGGUCGUAAAACUCUGUUAUAAGAGAAGAACAAAUUGUAGAGUAACUGCUACAGUCUUGACGGUAUCUUAUCAGAAAGCCACGGCUAACUACGUGCCAGCCGCCGCCGUAA
rnacentral:rRNA from 1 species